AUAAAGCUAGAUUACCAAAGCAU
rnacentral:ncRNA from 5 species